rnacentral:rRNA from 1 species
UUUAAAUAGCUGCAGUAAUUUAACUGUACAAAGGUAGCAUAAUAAUUAGUCUUUUAAUUGAGGUCUGGAAUGAAUGGAUUAACAAAAUAAUAACUUUAUUAGGUUAAAUAAAUUUUAACUUUCUUUUUUAGUUAAAAAGCUAAAAUUUUUAAAUGGGACGAUAAGACCCUAUAGAUCUUUAAUUUUUUAAAAUUAAUUUUUUUUUAGAUUGAUUAAAAAUUUAAAUUUAAAAAAUUUUAGUUGGGGUGACUAAAAAAAUUUUAAAACUUUUUUUAAUUUUAUCAUAAAUUAAUGUUUUUUUAGAUCUUAAUUAUUUAGAUUUUAAAAAUAAGAUACCUUAGGGAUAACAGCGUAGAAAUUUGGAUAGUUCAUAUUGAUAAAUUUAUUUACGACCUCGAUGUUGAAUUAAUUAUAAAUUUUAAAGCAGAAAUUAAUAAUUUAGGUCUGUUCGACCUUUAAUUAAUUACA